rnacentral:lncRNA from 1 species
UUUCUUCUUUGUUUCUGCACAGCCAAUCUGCCUUAUUUAAGCUCAAGUCUUGUCUUAGCCACCCCUUUUCAUAGACUAGACAACUUCUAAUUGUCCAUCUCAUGGCCAACCUGCACAAAAGGUAGGACCAUUGUUUUAUGUUGUUGUCUUUUUCUCUUGUAGAGACUGGAUUUCUUGUAGGAGGAGAGUGCAGGGUUAGGAAAAAACAGAGUAGGAGGCUGAAAACAGCCUCUAGCCUCUCACCAGGGUCUCUGAAUGUGUGGAGGCUGCGUUAAUUCAUACACUUCAUCCAGGAUCACUCAGUUGUUUUUCCCUCAUAGAUGUAGAUGGUCUGGCCUGGAUCUGAUCCAGAGAGUUGGGGAGUCAAUAAGAGCUGCCUGAGUAACUUUGCUUCUUUAUUAUUAAAGCAAUAUAAUGUGAGUUUUCUAGGGCACCAUCGUUUCCCUUAAAGCCAGUAUAAACUGCUUUAUUAGAGAUUAUAGCACCACUGGGACAGAAGGCAAGAGCAAUUAUUUAUAUGAUAAUAUGAGCUGAUAAUUUAGGCAUAAUUCAUUCACAUAAAUGUUCUAACAUUGCCACAUAAGUUUAUUAGCAUAUGUGGCAGAGUAUGAGUUCUACCCAGACAGCAAAGCCUCCUAUAAAACAAUUUGUAAUUGACUUUUCAUUUUUUUUCCUAUAUGGCAGAGUGGUGUAGGAACACAGUGAGAUUUCAGAGUGAGGAGCUUGCCACCCUUAGCCUUCUUGUUGUUUAUCUGCCCUGUCCCUGCUUUUUGCUUCAUUCACACAAGAUGGGAUGACUGGAGUAAUCAUCUUAAUGGAGAAGGGGAUUUUGUGGAGGCAGUUCAAGUUCAGGGUAGGAGAGUUAAGGAAGAGGGUUAAAGGGUCCAUGCAGGUCCUUGCUCUGACUUUCUCUUACUCUAGAUGAAAAUAAUUCCAGCUGUAAAUACCAGCUAAGAUCAAAUUAGAAAAGAUUUUUGUGAUAUGCCAUUAUCAAGGCAAGAAAAAUAUAAAAGCACAAAACAGUAAUUAUGGUCAUGGAUCACACAUGCCAGAGAAGCUAAUGGGCUUGCAGUUCUCCUCCUGAUGGCCAUGGGUGUUUAAAAGUUGGUUUUUAGAGGCAAUCUCUCAUCAUCAGUCAGAAGGAAGGAAGGGUUUGGGGAAGAAGUCUUUCUAGAAGCAAGGUAACAGAGAUGAAACAAUCUCUUGCAAUAAAAGAAGACCACGGAGAAGCUACACUGUUUUCAGAGACUUAAAAGGGUAAGAAUAGGGAGAAGAGACAAUGGGAAUGAGGAAUUCUCCAGGGUUCCUCCAGACAUGUACCGUUUUCAUCGUUUUUCUUAAUAGUCCAAGUAACAUGUGUUCUCUGAGUUAUGCCUACUAGAUGUACUAUUGCUAACACACAAUUGAAUAAUUUUCUCUAUAGUUAAGUGCAUAGUAUAUCAUCCUUCCUAUGUUUGCAGUAAAAUAUGCCAAUCUCUUCUCCUAUGAUUUGUUGACAAACUUUGAAUGAUUCUCCUAUAUCUUUUUCAGUAACACAUAUUUCUAUGCCUUAAAUUCUACUUCACCUUGGUUUUAUUUUGGGUCCUUUGGGAGAAGGCAGUCUUUAUUUUCUCCAAACAUAUAUCUAACAAUGCUCCCUUCGUCUUUGGCUGAUCCGAAAUGUCGUAUCAGUUGUGCAAGAGAGCAGUGUAGUAAAGGACAUUAUCCCAUCCCAUGCAGCAGGGUAGCAUAGCAGAGGGUAGUGCCCUAUCCUGUCUGCUCCCUUGGUCUGUGUUUAUCUCUCUGUUAUACCAUUGGUAUGGUAAGUUUAAUUAGUAGGCAAUAUGUUCCAGGAAAACUCUUUCCUAUAUACCUACAUUAGUCAGUUUUUAAGCAGAUUAUUAGAGAAGUAUUGGAGAGAGAAGGGCAGAACUAAGACUCUUGAAAAUUUUUUUAAUUUAAUUUUAUUUUAAUUAUGUAUUUUCUUCAUUUACCUUUCCAAUGCUAUCCCAAAAGUCCCCCAUACCACCCCCACUCCCCUACCCACCCACUCCCACUUCUUGGCCCUGGCGUUCCCCUGUACUGAGGCAUAUAAAGUUUGCAAGACCAAUGGGCCUCUCUUUCCACUGAUGGACUAGGCCAUCUUUUGAUACAUAUGCAGCUAGAGUCAAGAGCUCCAGGGUACUGGUUAGUUCAUAAUGUUGUUCCACCUAUAGGGUUGCAGAUCUCUUUAGCUCCUUGGGUACUUUCUCUAGCUCCUCCAUUGGGGCCCUGUGAUCCAUCCAAUAGCUGACUGUGAGCAUCCACUUCUGUGUUUGCUAGGCCCCGGCAAAGCCUCUCAAGAGACAGCUAUAUCAGGGUCCUUUCAGCAAAAUCUUGCUAGUGUGUGCAAUAGGAUGGACCAUCUAGAGACUGCCAUACCCGGGGAUCCAUCCCAUAAUCAACCUCCAAAGACUCUUGAAAUUUAAGGAUCUUUCUCAUGGAAGAACAGCAUUUGGAGGGUUAGUUCUCUUUCUCAAGGGAUCUGUCUGGGAGGAGUCCAGAGUGUUCUGCUUGGCCUUUAACUGACUCGGGUGAUAGCCAUUUGCUGUGUACAUUAUCACACUCCAGGUCAGUGGAUAUAAACUUGACCUGGUUGAUCUCUGCCUUGAACAGUUUGGCUGGCAAGGAAAGAUCCCAAUGGGGAAAAACCUCUCGUUCCAGCUAUUAAUGAUGAUAAGGAUAAGGCUUAAAGGCUUGCCAUUAUUAUUAAGCACAACAUAGAAGAGUCUUAGCACUUAACACAAGCUGGGCAAUGUGCAGGAACCUUGGACAGAAAUUGAUGAGGAGUAGCUAGAACUGUGCCCUGGGAGUAUACAGACAGCCUCAGCAGACACAUCCUCAUUUACCACUUGGCUUUCUUAGAUACGCGUGUUCCUUUAAAGAAGCAAGAUGUUCUCUACAGAGAGUAAUCCCCAUGAGGAUAACGCCAUUGACAAAAUGAAUCCUGUCUAGCAUGCUCAAACACAAGCAUAUAUAAGGGAUAAAUUGAUAAAUAGAAGAUGAAUGGAUAGAUG